CUCCCUGUGGCUCAGUUGGUAGAGCAUGGUGUUUCCAACGCCAGGGUUGUGGGUUCAAUUCCCACGGGGGGC
rfam:Salmo salar isolate Sally breed double haploid chromosome ssa05, whole genome shotgun sequence.